rnacentral:rRNA from 1 species
GAUGAACGCUGGCGGCGUGCCUAAUACAUGCAAGUCGAGCGAACGGACGAGAAGCUUGCUUCUCUGAUGUUAGCGGCGGACGGGUGAGUAACACGUGGAUAACCUACCUAUAAGACUGGGAUAACUUCGGGAAACCGGAGCUAAUACCGGAUAAUAUUUUGAACCGCAUGGUUCAAAAGUGAAAGACGGUCUUGCUGUCACUUAUAGAUGGAUCCGCGCUGCAUUAGCUAGUUGGUAAGGUAACGGCUUACCAAGGCAACGAUGCAUAGCCGACCUGAGAGGGUGAUCGGCCACCCUGGAACUGAGACACGGUCCAGACUCCUACGGGAGGCAGCAGUCGGGAAUCUUCCGCAAUGGGCGAAAGCCUGACGGAGCAACGCCGCGUGAGUGAUGAAGGUCUUCGGAUCGUAAAACUCUGUUUUUAGGGAAGAACAUAUGUGUAAGGAACUGUGCACAGCUUGACGGUACCUAAUCAGAAAGCCACGGCUAACUACGUG